rnacentral:rRNA from 1 species
GACGAACGCUGGCGGCGCGCCUAACACAUGCAAGUCGAACGAGAGAGAGGAAGCUUGCUUCCUUAAUCGAGUGGCGAACGGGUGAGUAACGCGUGAGGAACCUGCCUCAAAGAGGGGGACAACAGUUGGAAACGACUGCUAAUACCGCAUAAGACCACAGUGUCGCAUGGCACAGGGGUCAAAGGAUUUAUCCGCUGAAAGAUGGGCUCGCGUCCGAUUAGCUAGAUGGUGAGGUAACGGCCCACCAUGGCGACGAUCGGUAGCCGGACUGAGAGGUUGAACGGCCACAUUGGGACUGGAGACACGGCCCAG